UCCCCGAUGGUCUAGUGGUCAUGAUUUCCGCUUGUCAAAGUCGUAAUGGCGUUAACAAGCGCGGGAGACCGGGGUUCGAUUCCCCGUCGAGGAG
rnacentral:tRNA from 1 species